UACGUAGGGUGCGAGCGUUGUCCGGAAUUACUGGGCGUAAAGGGCUCGUAGGCGGCCAACUAAGUCGGAUGUGAAAUCCCCAAGCUUAACUUGGGAACUGCAUCCGAUACUGGAUGGCUUGAAUCCGGGAGAGGGAUGCAGAAUUCCAGGUGUAGCGGUGAAAUGCGUAGAUAUCUGGAGGAAUACCGGUGGCGAAGGCGGCAUCCUGGACCGGCAUUGACGCUGAGGAGCGAAAGCUAGGGGAGCAAACGGGG
rnacentral:rRNA from 1 species